CUUUGAAAACAAACAAAAACAAUGUUAGUUUACAUCCAAUUUUGUUUCUCAAUACAUACGCGAAUCAUUUGGUGCAGUGAGAACAAACAAGCCGAUUCAAUUUCAAAUUGGUUUCUUAAUACAAACCUUAAAAUUUCACUCGUGAGCACAAACAACUACUAUGCCGAUUCACUUUCAAAUGGGUUUCUCAAUGCAAACCCUUAAAUUUUAAUUUAUCUUCUCCCAAUACCGAUUCAUCUCAUCAUCGAUAUCAUUUCUUCAAUUUUUCAGGUUUUCUGAAUGGCCGCCGGAAAACAUGACUUUGUUAAGGAAAUCACUCCUACAAAGGAAUCAUGGAACGAGUUAUUCGCUUAUGGGUUGUAUCCGAUAUGAACGAGAAACAAAAGUUUUUUAGGAUGGAAAUGAUUAUAAUGGAUGAGAAGGUUGUUGUUA